CAAGUAGCGUCUGUCCAGUUGCAAUUUGAGUUCAAUGCAGUUUUUGCAGUGGAUGUUUUUGCAUAUUGAGUAGAUUUGCAUCCGGACCUGGAUCUCUGGCUGGUUGGCUGGCUUAUCCGUCUGUGGUUGGGCCAGUCACGACCCAGACAGACGGGCCUGCAAUUACUUCCAAUUACUUUUGUGAAAAUUCGAGAGAAGUGAAAAUCUGUAUCUAGUGCAAGUGGGUUGAAGGACGUGGGAAAAGGAUUGAUGCUAGAAAUGGUUUUCAGGGAUGUAAGCACUUUCAACGUUAGUUGCCGGCUCAAAUCAAACGAAUGCUUGUUAGGAGACACAUAGAUUCCGUUGUUUGAAAUGCAUUUCAUAUCAAAAUAUACAAAAAAUACAUAUAAUCCCAUUGGCUGAAAAAUUGUAAAGCCAUCGAAAAACACAAGCAUAGUAGGAAAGCCUGGAGAAAAUUCCUUGAGUAUUUUUCUCAUCAGCGGAUAUCUAAAAUUCAAGGAAGCUUAUUUUUUCACCCAACGGUCAAAUUAAUAAAUGUAACGGAGGAGGUUUUUGAGGCGAUGUACCUAGUACCAUCUUCAGUCAAAUAAAAAUAAAUAAAUGAAGAUAAAAACACUGAAGAAGGGGACAGUUGGUCCCCAAAAUACGUAUUUGUUUAAAUUAGAUACUUUUAACC